rnacentral:tRNA from 1 species
UAGAGAGUAGUAAAAUGGAAUUACAGGGAGUUUUGAUCUCUCAGUUAUAGGUUCAAUUCCUGUUUCUCUAU